GAUGAAGAACGCAGCGAAAUGCGAUACGUAAUGUGAAUUGCAAAUUCAGUGAAUCAUCGAGUCUUUGAACGCACAUUGCGCCCCCUGGUAUUCCGGGGGGCAUGCCUGUCCGAGCGUCAUUGCUGCCCUCAAGCACGGCUUGUGUGUUGGGCCCCGUCCUCCGAUCCCGGGGGACGGGCCCGAAAGGCAGCGGCGGCACCGCGUCCGGUCCUCGAGCGUAUGGGGCUUUGUCACCCGCUCUGUAGGCCCGGCCGGCGCUUGCCGAUCAACCCAAAUUUUUAUCCUGGUUGACCUCGGAUCAGGUAGGGAUACCCGCUGAACUUAAGCAUAUCAAUAAGCGGAGGA
rnacentral:misc_RNA from 1 species